UGAGGAAUAUUGGACAAUGGGCGCAAGCCUGAUCCAGCAAUGCCGCGUGCAGGAUGAAGGCCUUCGGGUUGUAAACUGCUUUUAUACGGAGCGAAAAGGUCUGCCCUAAUACGGUGGGCUCAUGACGGUACCGUAAGAAUAAGCACCGGCUAACUACGUGCCAGCAGCCGCGGUAAUACGUAGGGUGCGAGCGUUAAUCGGAAUUACUGGGCGUAAAGCGUGCGCAGGCGGUUAUAUAAGACAGAUGUGAAAUCCCCGGGCUCAACCUGGGACCUGCAUUUGUGACUGUAUAGCUAGAGUACGGUAGAGGGGGAUGGAAUUCCGCGUGUGGCAGUGAAAUGCGUAGAUAUGCGGAGGAACACCGAUGGCGAAGGCAAUCCCCUGGACCUGUACUGACGCUCAUGCACGAAAGCGUGGGGAGCAAACA
rnacentral:rRNA from 1 species